rnacentral:rRNA from 1 species
UACGUAGGGUGCAAGCGUUAAUCGGAAUUACUGGGCGUAAAGCGUGCGCAGGCGGUUUUGUAAGUCUGUCGUGAAAUCCCCGGGCUCAACCUGGGAAUUGCGAUGGAGACUGCAAGGCUAGAAUCUGGCAGAGGGAGGUGGAAUUCCACGUGUAGCAGUGAAAUGCGUAGAGAUGUGGAGGAACACCGAUGGCGAAGGCAGCCUCCUGGGCCGACACUGACGCUCAUGCACGAAAGCGUGGGGAGCAAACAGG